rnacentral:rRNA from 1 species
GUUGUCCGGAAUUAUUGGGCGUAAAGAGCUCGUAGGCGGUGUGUCACGUCGGCCGUGAAAACCUGCAGCUUAACUGUGGGCGUGCGGUCGAUACGGGCAUCACUGGAGUUCGGCAGGGGAGACUGGAAUUCCUGGUGUAGCGGUGAAAUGCGCAGAUAUCAGGAGGAACACCGGUGGCGAAGGCGGGUCUCUGGGCCGAUACUGACGCUGAGGAGCGAAAGCGUGGGGAGCAAACAGG